AGAUGCGAGAGUAGAGCAUAUCAAUAAGCGGAGGAAAAGAAACUAACUAGGAUUCCCUUAGUAACGGCGAGUGAAGCGGGAAGAGCUCAAAUUUGAAAUCUUCAAGGUUCUACCUUGACGAAUUGUAGUUUAUAAGAAGUGUUUUCUGUUAGUAGAGUUGGCUAAAAGUUCUUUGGAAUAGGACAUCCAUAGAGGGUGAGAAUCCCGUAUUUGGUCAUUCUUUCUAGCUUUGUGAUACACUUUCAACGAGUCGGAUUGUUUGGGAAUGCAGUCCAAAAUGGGUGGUAAAUUUCAUCUAAAGCUAAAUAUUGGCGAGAGACCGAUAGCGAACAAGUACCGUGAGGGAAAGAUGAAAAGAACUUUGAAAAGAGAGUUAAACAGUACGUGAAAUUGUCAAAAGGGAAGCGUUUGACACCAGUGUUGUUUUUCCGAAAAUCAAUUACGAAUGUUUUAUUUUUGAGAAGUUAUGACUUCAUCGGCUUGCUUCUCUCUUUACGAAACUUUCUUAAUGCACUUUUCGGUUAACAAGUCAACAUCAAUUUCUUUUGUUGUAAAAGGGUAUGAGGAAGGUGGCUUUCAUUUCGGUAGAAAGUGUUUAUAGCCUUGUACCUCUGCAAUCGGAGAGAUUGAGGUCUGCAGCGUAGAUCCUUCGGGGUUAGAUACAGUUUGUGCUAAGUUAUAGCUUUCAUAGACAACUUGUUGACUAUGUUAGUCUUGUAGCUUACUCGCUUAUGCUAUUUUACCUACGCUUAGGAUGUUGACGCGCGUGUGUGCGUG
rnacentral:rRNA from 1 species